rnacentral:rRNA from 1 species
UACGAAGGGGGCUAGCGUUGCUCGGAAUUACUGGGCGUAAAGGGCGCGUAGGCGGAUAGUUUAGUCAGAGGUGAAAGCCCAGGGCUCAACCUUGGAACUGCCUUUGAUACUGGCUAUCUUGAGUUCGGGAGAGGUGAGUGGAAUGCCGAGUGUAGAGGUGAAAUUCGUAGAUAUUCGGCGGAACACCAGUGGCGAAGGCGGCUCACUGGCUCGGUACUGACGCUGAGGUGCGAAAGCGUGGGGAGCAAACAGG